rnacentral:rRNA from 1 species
ACGGCGAGUGAAGCGGCAAAAGCUCAAAUUUGAAAUCUGGCAUCUUUGAUGUCCGAGUUGUAAUUUGAAGAGGUUACUUUGGAGGCUGGCUCUUGUCUAUGUUCCUUGGAACAGGACGUCAUGGAGGGUGAGAAUCCCGUCUGGCGAGAGUUUCAGUUUUCAUGUAAAGUAGCAUUCGACGAGUCGAGUUGUUUGGGAAUGCAGCUCUAAGUGGGUGGUAAAUUCCAUCUAAAGCUAAAUAUUGGCGAGAGACCGAUAGCGAACAAGUACAGUGAUGGAAAGAUGAAAAGAACUUUGAAAAGAGAGUGAAAAAGUACGUGAAAUUGUUGAAAGGGAAGGGCAUUUGAUCAGACAUGGUGUUUCGUGCUUCUUGCUCCUUGUGGGCGGGGAGACUCACACGGUUCACUGGGCCAACAUCAGUUUUGGCAGCAGGAUAAAACUUUGGGAACGUAGCUUUCUUCGGGAAGUGUUAUAGCCCUUGGCAAUACUGCUAGCCGGGAUUGAGGACUGCGCAUUUAUGCAAGGAUGUUGGCUUAAUGGUUAAA